AUAUAUCUUCAGCUAUACAUAUCCUAAAAUUAGAACAAUACAGAGAAGAUUAACAUUGCCCUGCACAAGGGAGACAUGCCUGUUCCUGAAGCAUUCCAUAUUUUC